rnacentral:rRNA from 1 species
AGCGAACGUUUGCGGCGGGCUUAACACAUGCAAGUCGAACGGGCUGUUCCUUCGGGGGCAGUCAGUGGCGCACGGGUGCGUAACACGUAGGUAAUCAACCCUCUGGUUGGGGAUAACACUUCGAAAGGAGUGCUAAUACCCGGUAUGGCGCAGCGGUCUUCGGAUCGCGGCGAGAAAGACCCGCAAGGGUUGCCAGAGGACGAGCCUGCGGCCCAUCAGCUAGUUGGCGAGGUAACGGCUCACCAAGGCGAAGACGGGUAGCUGGUCUGAGAGGAUGAUCAGCCACACUGGAACUGAGACACGGUCCAGACUCCUACGGGAGGCAGCAGUGGGGAAUAUUGCGCAAUGGGCGAAAGCCUGACGCAGCCACGCCGCGUGAGCGAUGAAGGCCUCGGUCGUAAGACUCUGUGGGGAGAGAAGAAUAAAGACCUGUGAAGAGCAGGCCUUGACGGUAGUCUCCUUAG